GGCCUCGUAGAUCAGUUGGCUAGAGCGUUGGCGGUACUAAAGCCUUCCCCCGGCUGACGUGGGUUCGAAUCCCACUGAGGUCG
rfam:Schistocephalus solidus strain NST_G2 genome assembly, scaffold: SSLN_scaffold0007189